UACAAACAGCCUGGUCAAAAAUAAAGUUCAUUUCUCUCUCUUGGCCAAUCCCCCAGAGUGGGUGUGAGCCAUUCAUAAAGGAAAUCAUCAUCAUCAUCAUCUAGCCCCUCCCGCUUCGCGUGUGAGCACAAUCAGGAAGAAGUCGUCAUCGCCAUCUUGCUCUGUUCAAGAAUUCUAGUUGUCGACAAGCUCUCAACAAAAUGGCUGACCAGUCGACCAUGGAGCUCUCCACUGCGGGAGAUGCGUCGAGCU
rnacentral:lncRNA from 1 species